CUUUAUAAUCCCUAACACCUGUGCAUUUUGUCGCUUCGGCGAUAUUUUACAAACAACUGUGUAAUGAAUGUAAACUAUUAUAAUAAAUACAACUUUUAACAACGGAUCUCUUGGCUCUCGCAUCGAUGAAGAACGCAGCGAAAUGCGAUAAGUAAUGUGAAUUGCAGAAUUCAGUGAAUCAUCGAAUCUUUGAACGCAAAUUGCGCCUUUUGGUAUUCCGAAAGGCAUGCCUGUUUGAGUGUCAUAUAGACUCUUAUAACUAGUUUUCUAAUUAUAAGGUUUGGACGUUGCCAUUAGUGGCUCGUCUUAAAUGACUAAGUGGAAUGCGUAAUAAGUUUUCGCUCCCUCCACUCUAAUACUAUUUUAGUUUAGACCUCAAAUCAGGUAGGACUACCCGCUGAACUUAAGCAUAUCAA
rnacentral:rRNA from 1 species